GAUGAACGCUGGCGGCGUGCUUAACACAUGCAAGUCGAACGGUGAACGAGGGAGCUUGCUCCCUCCGGAUCAGUGGCGAACGGGUGAGUAACACGUGAGCAAUCUGCCCUGGACUCUGGGAUAAGCGUUGGAAACGACGACUAAUACCGGAUACGAGGCGUGGGGGCAUCCCCAACGCCUGGAAAGAACUUCGGUCCAGGAUGAGCUCGCGGCCUAUCCGGUAGUUGGUGAGGUAAUGGCCCCCCAAGCCUACGACGGGUAGCCGGCCUGAGAGAGUGACCGGCCACGCUGGGACUGGGGCACUGCCCAGACUCAUACGGGAGGCAGCAGUGGGGGAUAUUGCACAAUGGGCGAAAGCCUGAUGCAGGAACGCCGCGGGAGGGACGACGGCCUUCGGGUUGUAAACCUCUUUUAGCAGAGAAGAAGCGAAAGUGACGGUACCUGCAGAAAAAGCACCGGCUAACUACGUGCCAGCCGCCGCAGUAAUAC
rnacentral:rRNA from 1 species